rnacentral:rRNA from 1 species
UCCUUCCGUAGGUGAACCUGCGGAAGGAUCAUUAAAGAAUCGCCCCGUUUUUUGAAAUGGGUUCUAUUCCCAAACCGUGUAUACAUACCUUUGUUGCUUUGGCGGGCCGCCUUCGAGCGUUGGCUUCCAGCUGACUGCGCCCGCCAGAGGACCCAAACUCGUUUGUUUAGUGAUGUCUGAGUACUAUAUAAUAGUUAAAACUUUCAACAACGGAUCUCUUGGUUCUGGCAUCGAUGAAGAACGCAGCGAAAUGCGAUAAGUAAUGUGAAUUGCAGAAUUCAGUGAAUCAUCGAAUCUUUGAACGCACAUUGCGCCCCUUGGUAUUCCGAGGGGCAUGCCUGUUCGAGCGUCAUUAUAACCAUUCAAGCCUUGGCUUGGUAUUGGGGUUUCGCGGUUCUGCGGCCCUUAAAAUCAGUGGCGGUGCCGUCUGGCUCUAAGCGUAGUAAUUCUCUCGCUAUAGGGUCCCGGCGGUGGCUUGCCAAAACCCCUCUA